GAUGAACGCUGGCGGUAUGCUUAACACAUGCAAGUCGAACGGACUCUUCGGAGUUAGUGGCGGACGGGUGAGUAACGCGUGAGAAUCUGGCUUUGGGUUCGGGACAACCACUGGAAACGGUGGCUAAUACCGGAUGUGCCGAGAGGUAAAAGAGAAAUUGCCUGAAGAUGAGCUCGCGUCUGAUUAGCUAGUUGGUGAGGUAAAGGCUCACCAAGGCAGCGAUCAGUAGCUGGUCUGAGAGGAUGACCAGCCACACUGGGACUGAGACACGGCCCAGACUCCUACGGGAGGAAGCAGUGGGGAAUUUUCCGCAAUGGGCGAAAGCCUGACGGAGCAAUACCGCGUGAGGGAAGAAGGCUCUUGGGUUGUAAACCUCUUUUCUUAGGGAAGAACAAAAUGACGGUACCUAAGGAAUCAGCAUCGGCUAACUCCGUG
rnacentral:rRNA from 1 species